rnacentral:tRNA from 1 species
GGAGGUAUAGCUUGGUGGUGGAGUGCAUGCCUAGCAUGUGCAAGGCCCUGGGUUCAACCCCCAGCACUUUUG